rnacentral:rRNA from 1 species
UACGUAGGGGGCUAGCGUUGUCCGGAUUUAUUGGGCGUAAAGAGCGUGUAGGCGGCCAGGUAGGUCUGCUGUGAAAACUCGAGGCUCAACCUCGAGACGUCGGCGGAAACCAUCUGGCUAGAGUCCGGAAGAGGAGAGUGGAAUUCCUGGUGUAGCGGUGGAAUGCGUAGAGAUCCGGAAGAACACCGGUGGCGAAGGCGGCCUGCUGGGACAAUGCUGACGCUGAGGCGCGACAGCGUGGGGAGCAAACAGG